GUGAUCUUCCCACCUCAGCCUCCUGAGUACCUGGGACUACAGGCACAUGCCACCAAGCCCAGCUAGUUUUUGUUUGUUUGGGCGUUUCUGUUUUUUUGUAGAGAUGAGGUCUUACUAUGUUGCCUCUUCCUCACCCCUCCUCAUCCUUCAUCUCCUCACCCCUCCUCAUCUCCUCCUCACCCCUCCUCAUCUCCUCCUCACCCAUCUCCUCCUCACCCUCCUCAUCUCCUCCUCAUCCCUCCUCAACUCCUCCUCACCCCUCCUCAUCUCCUCCCCACCCCUCCCCAUCUCCUCCUCAUCCCUUCUACACCCCUCCUCAUCUUGUCUUUACCCCUCCUCACUGCUCCUCAUCCUCUCCUCAUCUCCUCCUCACCUCUGCUCACCCCUCCUCGUCUCUUCCUCACCCCUCUUCACCCCUCCUCAUCCACACCUCACUCACUCCUCACCCUUCCUUACCCUCCCCCAUCCUUCCUCCCCCCCACUCAACCCUCCUCACUCCCCCGUCACUGCACAUUCUCAGCACCCUCCUUCCCCAGUCCAGGCCAUCAGGGUCUUUGUCUUGGACCAGUGUGUAGCCUUUAGUCAGCUCUGCCAAACCCUCUGCUGCCCAUUCCAAAUGAGUUCUGACUCUGCAGCCAGAUUAAUCUUGAUAAAAAUGAAACUUGCAACACAUCAAUAGAUUGUGCUAAUUAUUUCACAAUGUAUUCAUAUAUCAUAACAUUACGUGGUGUACUGAAAGCAUAUACAAUUUUCAUUUGUCAGUUAUACCUCAAUAAAGUUGGGGAAAAGCACAAAAAGCCAUCAAUGGCUUCCUCCUGUCCUUAGGAGAAUGCGCUGUUCAUAUGGUGUCUGAGACCCUGGCAGGGGUGGCCCCACCAGUGCCUCCAGCACCCCCUCACUCUGCUGCUCCCAGCCUCAGCAGACCCUCACCCUCACCAUGCAGCCUUACCACCCACCCUCUGACACACCCCGUCUUACAUGUUGGUCUCCCUGCCUGGGCAGACAUGUCUUCCUGGCUUUGCUGAGUUAACUCCCACCUACCUCUCCUUGUCCUUCAGACCGCAGCUGGGUCCUGACGUCCCUGUUGGGCGGCGCCCCCUGUUGGAAGAGCCUGGAACUCCCGUUGCCUCUGUUUGGAAAACCUUUCAGAAUCCUAAUUUAACUCCCGUUCAUGACUAUUGAAUGAUGGCUUCUGCCUCUCUGGACUGGAAGCCCCACACAGGCAGAGACCGUUUCUGGCUUUGCCGUCUAUAUUUUUGAAUUGAAAGAAUCAGUAAUAAGUGAAAUCCUAACUGGGCAGGAAAUUACUGAUAGCGUUUUUGUGGCUGCCAUUCCUAUGGAAAGCCUGACCAUUCAGUCCCGGAGCAUAACUAAGUUAUGUUAAUUUAGACAAGAUAAGAAAUAGAGAAGUGGUCAUGGUAAGAACAGCCAUGGAAGUGCAAACCUACAAGAUUAUGGUAAAAAACUCACUCUGGCAAAAUGAAUCUGUAAUAUCAUUAAUAACAUUAGAUUCUGUGUGAAUUAAGUUUGAAAACACUUAGCCAGACCUCUUAGUUUCCUCUUUCUCCUCAUUUUAACGAGAAGGCAAAGACAGGGCUGCUUUCUGCAUAUGAUAACUUCCUAAUUUUCUAGUGAUUUACCCUCCUUUCUUACUUUUUCUGUUAUCCUGGAGUUUUGGCUAUCUCUGUACAAUUAGACAUGACUUUGGAGCUCUCAGAG
rnacentral:lncRNA from 1 species